GUAUUCUUAAUAAACUCCGUGAUUUUCUAAGAUAUUGUUGUCAUUUAAAAGUUUCUCAAAUUUCAAAAUAAUUGUGAACUACAUUUUUGCAUUGGGGUCCUUAACAUGCGCUCAAGAAAUGCUUUACAGAAUCAUUGCUCAUUUCAUCUCCAGAACAUCGAGCGUCUUGGGUAGAAAGUUUAAGUGAUGCAUCUUUACAGUACCGAUCUUACUUUAGUAAUUGUGUCAGUGUGCUUCUUCGUCACCUAUAAGCAUUAUCGACGUUGCGUUUGUAGCCGCGACGAAAGCCUUCAUAUUAAAGGGAGAGGAGUUAGCAUGGAACUAAAAAAUAUAUCAGGAUUAAAUGAUCUUCUUCAAAUUAGCAGUUUGAAGGAAUGAAAAUGUAUACCCAGAGUCGCUAAAGGAUAGGGGAAUGCACCGGACACAAGGCCCUAAGUCAGAGGUAACCCGGUAGGCUCGCUGACCAAGGCCGUCGAUCUCUUGCAGCUGAUGCAAAGCACAAGAGUCUAGAAUAUGGACAUGCGGGUUGCCUUCACAAAGACCGACAGCCAACGUAAGAAUGUACAAGGAAUAAUUUGUUAUAGAGAAUAAUGAAAUACAUAUUUAAAAGUAUUUAACGAUAAUACCACAUAAAUAAAACAAUAAAUAAAAUAUACA